AAAAGUGAAAACGUCGCAAAUUUUUUAUUUCUGUUGAAAGUUUUACGGAUACAAAAUGUUUACUCCAGAAGUCCAAGGAAUACUACUGAUUGUAAUUCUUGGCUUGACACUUGCAAUAAUAUCAGGUACUAUGGUUUUCGGUCUGUGUUGGUUCAAGAUGAUUGAAACUAUUUCAAAAUCCAGACGGGGUUCAAGAAGACCGAAGUCAACUCGUAAGAAGAGUGGAACGACUGAUGAUAAAAAUACCAACAUCUAGUUUUAGACCAUUUUUUUCUAAAUUCAGUGUUUUUUAACAACUUAAACGUUUUUUUGGAUAAUAUUAAAUCAGUAAUAAAUCAUUUAUAAUAUCCGA